GUUUGAAGUUUUGAAAUAAUAGAAAUUUAGUAUCCAAAGCAGCACAUGUGUUGGUUCACCAUGUUUAAUAUAUACAGUAUAGUCACACAGUUAAAUCCACUACGAAAGAACUGAUAUAAUACUGUAAUAUUUCAGUAAAGACUGCCUUUAAUCACUUAAUUCAGCUGACUUCUUCGCUCAGGCUGAGCUAAUUCAUGAUGUGUCAGCUGGUUUUCAUUUCUCUAUUUUGUUGUUAAAAAAAUAUCACACAACCAAAUGCAGAAGUGACUCCACUACUGACAGCUGCUAGAAAUGACAAAAGCGGCAUCAGGCCUCCUAACAGUGAUGAGUUCUCUGCAGAGAUAAACUCAUUUCACUCAACCUGCAGACAUUCCUGUUUUUUUUCUUUCCUUUAACAGGUUGUCUACAAGAAUGGACGUACUUCAGUGGUAGUUUAUAUUACAUUUCUUCAAACAAGAAAUCCUGGCAAUAAAGUAGAAAUGACUGUCUCCAGAGAGGUGCAGAUCUGGAAUUCACAAGAAAUUUUCAAAAGCUGAUGUGGACAGGAUUGACUGACAGUGAGCAAGAGGGGAUCUGGAAAUGGAUGGAUGGGCCUCUGCUUAUUACAAGCAACUGGGCUGCGUAUGAGCCAAACAGUUUUCCACAAAGAGAUGAGGACUGUGCAGAAAUAAAGAACUUUCAUUUCCAAAAUGCCUAGAAUGAUGAAUCAUGUGACCUUGAGAGAGUCUGGAUCUGCGAGAAGAAACUGGUUACAUAAAUCAGUAUCCAAACUCAUCACACAGUGAUGGAAAACAGAAAAGAAGUUCAUGAAAUGUAUAUGACUGAUCCUGUCAGCUCACUGUUAUCUACAGUAUAAGCUUUGCAUCAAAAGUCCUUAUUAUCACUUCCUUGUACAUGACAGUGUGUGAUAUAUGCUAAAUAAACAAUCUCUGUAUUCUGUAUAUCUGUAUAUAGUAUAUCCCACAUAUAUUUGGGAAGUAUGCAUAUUUCCACAGUAGCAGUCAGGUACAGGUGAUCAAAUGCAUUGGAUUAACUGAUCAUCAGUAAUUGUGAGCACCUUUAUAUUAGCAGAGGUUUUAGCAGUUAGCUGGUCUGGAGUAUUCAGGUGUGUUAAUCUGAUUAACUUAAAU